rnacentral:rRNA from 1 species
UACGGAGGGUGCGAGCGUUGUUCGGAAUUACUGGGCGUAAAGCGCGUGCAGGCGGCCUAUUAAGUCCGAUGUGAAAUCCCGGGGCUCACCCCCGGAAGUGCAUCGGAUACUGAUAGGCUGGAGUACCGGAGAGGAGGACGGAAUUCCUGGUGUAGCGGUGAAAUGCGUAGAUAUCAGGAGGAACACCGGUGGCGAAGGCGGUCCUCUGGACGGAUACUGACGCUGAGACGCGAAAGCGUGGGGAGCAAACAGG